CCCGUGCUCGAUUCACUGCUCGUGGGCUAUUACACCGAGUCCACUCCGCUUGACCGUGCAAACAAAGCGGAAUCGGAAUAGCAAAGAUGAGAAGCUUUCCCCGGGAUUAAACCCCCGUCCUUUUAACAUGUUCCAUAUCGUCGGUCGUCGUUAGUGGGUGUCAGUCACUUUGGUUACGUGCAGAACACAUUGUGUCAAACGCGGCGAAGCAAUGACAGGGCAAUACGAGGCUGUAACACAAGACUUCUUUCGCUUCUCUACGGUGUUCUACAUGCGCUACAAGUCCAACAAAGUAAAAUGACGUCCUUUUACGUAUGGGAGACCUGAAAUCAACAACGGACAAAUUUGUUACAUAGAGUGACCAGGAUGAAGAGAGAACUGAUUAAAUAGACUUGAAGAAAUGCAGUGACUUGCACUGAUGCAGGUGUCCACCAGAUGCUGCAUGCAGACAGAGAGGCAAGCGAAGCCGGCAGAGAGGCAAGCAGACUGCACUGUCUCAGUUCUUGCCAGGAACGGCAUUGGAUGGAGAUGUAACAUCCACUUCUAAUCAAGAUCCUGUGGGCAGGAUUGGAACAGCAAGUGGCUCUCCAGGGACAGUACACACUGUAGGAUCAAAAAUGAUUUAUUUCUUUGUGUGUCAUGCAAACCAAUCACUUCUUGCCCGUGACAUCACAAUGAAACAUAAUUAACAUGAAGUGGCAUGGUUUGCUAUGCCUUUCCUUUUUACAUGUUGGAAGUUACUGGUAUAGCCCUUCACACGUGUCUUUAUACAGGUGGAAAAUGGCAGCUUUGGGCACUGUUAAAUGCCUAAAUUGGAACGUAGUGGCUGUACAGUAACAUGCUAUACAUGACGUCGAAGCUAUUGCUGUGCGCUUCACAUUGCUGUAUGGGUUUUGACUGACAAAUCAAAUACAUUUUUAUUUGUCACAUGCGCCGAAUACAACAGGUGUAGACCUUACAGUGAAAUGCUUACAUACAAGCCCUUAACCAACAAUGCAGUUAAAAAAAUAAGAAUAAGAAAUAAAAGUAACAAAUAAUUAAAGAGCAGCAGUAAAUAACAAUAGCGAGGCUAUAUACAGGGGGUACCGGUACAGAGUCAAUGUGCGGGGGCACCGGUUAGUCGAGGCAAUUGAGGUAAUAUGUACAUGUAGUUAGAGUUAUUAAAGUGACUAUGCAUAGAUAAUAACAGAGAGUAUCAGCAGUGUAAGAGAGGGGGGGGUAAUGCAAAUAGUCUGGGUAGUCAUUUGACUAGAUGUUCAGGAGUCUUAUGGCUUGGGGGUAGAAGCUGUUUAGAAGCCUCUUGGACUUAGACUUGGUGCUCUGGUAUCGCUUGCCAUGUGGUAGUAGAGAGAACAGUCUGACUGGGGUGGCUGGAGUCUUUGACAAUUUUUAGGGCCUUCCUCUGACACCGCCUGAUAUAGAGGUCCUGGAUGUCAGGAAGCUUGGCCCCAGUGAUGUACUGGGCCGUACGCACUACCCUCUGUAGCGCCUUGCGAUCGGAGGCCGAGCAGUUGCCAUAUCAAGCAGUGAUGCAACCCACCAGGAUGCCCUCGAUGGUGCAGCUGUAGAACAUUUUGAGGAUUUGAGGACCCAUGUCAAAUAUUUUCAGUCUCCUGAGGGGGAAUAGGUUUUGUCGUGCCCUCUUCAUGACUGUCUUGGUGUGCUUGGACCAUGUUAGUUUGUUGGUGAUGUGGAUGCCAAGGAACAUGAAGCUUUCAACCUGCUUCACUAGAGCCCCGUUGAUGAGAAUGGGGGCGUGCUCAGUCCUCCUUUUCCUGUAAUCCACAAUCAUCUCCUUUGUCUUGAUCACAUUGAGGGAGAGGUUGUUGUCCUUGCACCACAUGGUCAGGUGGCUGUCUUGUCAUUGUCAGUGAUCAGACCUACCACUGUUGUGUCAUCUGCAAACUUAAUGAUGGUGUUGGAGUCGUGGUUGGCCGUGCAGCCAUGAGUGAACAGUGAGUACAGAAGGGGACUGAGGGAGGUGUUUAGUCCCAGGGUCCUUAGCUUAGUGAUGAGCUUUGAGGGCACUAUAGUGUUGAACGCUGAGCUGUAGUCAAUGAAUAGCAUUCUCAUAUAGGUGUUCCUUUUGUCCAGGUGGGAAAGGGCAGUGUGGAGUAAAAUAGAGUUGGCAUCAUCUGUGGAUAUGUUAGGCCGGUAUGCAAAUUGGAGUGGGUCUAGAGGUUCUGGGAUAAUUUUGCUGAUGUGAGCCAUGACCAGCCUUUCACUUGCCAGUUGGUCAGUGCAUGCUCGGAGUACACGUCCUGGUAAUCCGUCUGCCACAUCCGACGAGCGUCCGACGAACAUUCUGAACUUGAGCACCUCGCAAAACAAGAAGACGCCCCCAUCCUUUCCGCUAAUUAGGCAAAAUUUGCACAUCUUUUGUUGUCUGAAUGAGGGAAAUACUGUAAAUUAAGACGACUCUAUGUGUUCUGAAAGAUGAGACGUUAAGGAUUAUAAUUAAUACCGCUUUGAUGUCUUACAAGCAAACCACACACCCAUGAGUCCAAAUGUGUACCUCAUGUUUCCAUAUAAAACAAAUGAUGUCAUAUACAGUGUCAACGUUCAUGAUCACUAUGUUUGAUGUACAGUUACAAGAUGACAUGGCAUCAUACCCUGGGUUAUUCUGAACAGAGUGAGCCUGUUUGUCUAUUGUGAAGAAAAUACGCCACGGCACAUGCACCUGAAUGCACUGAUGAAUCCUUUCUGUGCGCCUCAACAUUUAUGAUCUGUUUCCCUGAUUUUGCAUUGUGAAAGUCUAACACUGUAAUAACGUAUUUUACAACUUAGCUAGUCAUGUUAGCAAUAGCACAAGCUUCCAAAUGAUCCAGAUUGUGAUUUUAGAUUGCGUAAACAACGACAGUAAUGGUGUGAUGACGUUGAUGCAGGGUUGUGUUCCAACAAAACAACUACGUGUUCUUGCUCUAGUUCCUCAACGGCACAGCUAGGAGAGAUAGUCGAAGACUCUCUUUGAGUCAUAAAAUUGCAUUGAAAUGACUUAAGAACUGUGCACACUUUGGAGAGGUGUGUGGCUACUUGGAGACAUCAGUUUGUCCUCUCACUCAAAUCCUUGUCAUUAGUUUGUCUAAUGUUGCACCUACCCCACAUUUCCAAGGAAUAUUUUUAUCAUGUUACUGAAUGUAUCCAGAGCAUUUUCAGAUUUCAUAUCAACAAAUGCAGCAAAAAAUAUGGUAAACAUAAAAUGACCAUAAAGUCAACAGUGUAAUAUUUGGAUUCAGUCUUGUGUCAAGUGAACUAUCGCUUUUGGUCGAAAAAUGUUCCAAUAAUCUCCAAACUAUUCCCUUUCAAUUGCUACCAUGCUUAUACAUGUGUUUUUCGUAUUUCUUCUGUACUAAACAUUUUAAUGUAGCCCUAUCCAUAUAGGCCAAUUCCCAUGAGUGUAAAGGGUUCAAAUGUAUACUUCAUUGUCAACUAUAGUAUUAUAGGCCUACUUUCACUUUUCAGUCCUUAUUUCCUUAAAUAGAGAUCCAAACCAUGUGCAUUUAUUUGCCUUUGUAUAUGUGUGUCAGUUAAUAUUUUGUGUGCUUCCUGCGUGUCUGUCUAGUAUGUACUGUAGAACUAUCUGUAUUAGAGGGUGAAGAGAAAGGGUCUGUCACGUGCUGAGUCGAGUCGAGCAACUUAAAGGCCAGUGCACUCAAAAACGACAUUUCCCUAUGUUUUAUAUAUAUUUCCACACUAUGAGGUUGGAAUAAUUCUGUAAAAUUGUGAAAAUUAUGAAUAAUGCCGUUUUAGUGUAAGAGCUGUUUAAAAAGAUCACUUGAAAUUUCAGCCUGUUUUGGUGGGAUGGAGUUUUGGCCUGCCUGGCGACAUCAACAGGCAGUAUAAGUUAAGAGUUUCAAUCAUCCUCUCUGCCAAUAAAAGCUAUUUUUUUUAGGUUACAUAACCCUCUCAUUAGGCUCGUCCAAUUAGGCCUUCACUCAGACCACUGCCAGACAGUACCUAGCAAAAUUCCUGCUUGAGAAAUAGCUCUUUGCACAGAAGCAUUUUUUAAAUAUUUUUUUUUACAAUUUUAAUUGGGAAAAAUAACAGUAAAGUACUUCAUUGUUAACCAGAAAUAAUUUGAUAUUCAGAUAAAAACGGCUGCAUUGGGCCUUUAACAGUUAAGACAGGGACAAAGCCAGGCCUGCGCAAUGCAUGCUGGGAAGUUUGGCUGCCAGAGAAAGUGCCCAAGUUCCAGCCAGCGUGGCUGAAACCCUUGCUAAGGCUGAAAAUGAAGUUUGAGAGUGGAAAUGAGAGGAGCAACAAAAGAGAGAAAGCGAGAGAGAGAGAGAGAGAGAGAGAGAGAGAGAGAGCGAGAGAGAGCUAAAGUGCUCAUGGCUGUAGGCUCAGUGUGCUCUUAAAGAGAUAUUACCACAACAUUCCUGAAGCAUUGACAAAGAAUGGGACAGUACAGUAUAGCCCAACUUAGCAGUAUAGACAGCAUUUAGAAUCUUGGUUUACUGCUUUUGUUGGGGAAUAUUUUUGAUAGGGACAUUUUCACUAUUCAAGAUUAAAUAAGAAUGUACAAUGUAACACAUUGUUUCAUAGGACAGACUACUUUUAUACAUUUACAUUUACAUUUAAGUCAUUUAGCAGACGCUCUUAUCCAGAGCGACUUACAAAUUACCUGAAGAUGCACGAGUUGAAAGAUUUGCACAAAUAAUUGUCAAUGUUAUGUGCAAUGUUAAGCAUUAAUGUGACAAGCUACGGGGAAGGUUUUAGCACAAUUCAUUUUGAAUUCGUUUCCAAAUCUAAUGCUUGUAUAAAAAACACAAACAGUCAACAAUGUAACAACCUUUUAUUCAAUAGUCAUAUACAAGUCAUUCAAAUGUUCACAAUAAAGUUCAAACAUGUAAUAAUAAUGUAAUUCCAUUUAAUAAUGUCUCCUAUCAACAAAAAGAUCCCAACACUUUCUCUCCCACUUUCAAGAUAAAAGUGGAAGUUGAAUUUGAAUUUGGAUUUGGAAGUUGAACUUCCAUCACAGGUUGUGAUAAAAAAAACAGAAGUAAUUUAAACCAUGAACAACAGAUCAACUUUUUCCACAUAGAAUACACUGUACGGUAUUAUAUUUUAUUAUCAGUAUUGUAUUAUAAUUAAAAUAUACUAUAUAGUUUUGUC